UACGUAGGGUGCGAGCGUUAUUCGGAAUUACUGGGCGUAAAGCGUGCGUAGGCGGUAGCGUAAGUCAGAUGUGAAAGCCCCGGGCUCAACCUGGGAACUGCAUUUGAGACUGCUCUGCUCGGGUGCGGAAGAGGGAAGCGGAAUUUCCGGUGUAGCGGUGAAAUGCGUAGAUAUCGGAAGGAACACCAGUGGCGAAAGCGUCUUCCUGGUCCGACACCGACGUUCAGGCACGAAAGCGUGGGGAGCAAACAGG
rnacentral:rRNA from 1 species